rnacentral:lncRNA from 1 species
UUUACUCUGUUCCUCUUCUAAAACAAAACCCUAAUCCUUGUCUCUGUCUCUCUCUCUGGCGAAUACGGCGAACAAUUGUUAUCAACAUUCAUCAAAUCCGAAUACCUUCAUCCACGCUACAUGACAGAGCGGAUUAGAGGAUACCUAUUAUCCAUGUGAAGCUAUCACGUGGUUACCUGCAAGGAAGGAACUUCAUUUCCCUGAUUUCUUUGAUGCUAUGUCAGCAAGCUAAAAGGCUUUCUCUUUAGCUGGUAAACAAUCCGAAUGGAGAUAUAUCUCUUGCAAUCCCCCUAUCCUUGAUCUACACUUUUUCAAGGGAAAAAUAUAUACGCUAUACACCAUGAGUCAGUUAUAUGAAUCCGUUUCAGCGUUCGUGAAAGAUAAGUUUAAUCUCUCUUUGAAUCAGUAUCAAUGACUCAGUGUUCAGAAGCGUAUGCGGUGUGUGGAAUCUUGUAUAGUUUUCAGGAGCCGACAGGUUCAAAACAUCCUAUUAUCAGUCUUUGGUCAUGGUAUAUGACUGAGGUGUUACUAAGAGUUGGGGAGAUUAUAGCUUCAAGAACAGGUGCGAAGAAGCUUUGACAGAGAAUGAAUUGGUUUACGGAGCUUAGUUUAUGGUUUUGAAACCAAACUAAGAUGGGCAUGUGUCUCUUGACAACAUCAUAAUGGCUCUCAUGUGUAAUGCUACAAAUGCCAUGGAGUAUAGGAUGGCACCCUCAUCUUAUAAGAAGACGGAUUUUGUUGCAGCAAUAAAAACAUAUCAAGUUGAAGCCCUUUAGACAUGGGUGCAAAUUAGUCCAACAUUGUUUGAUUACUUUAAACAGGAGGGUAGCUUCCCGGCUUCUGUUGAAAUACUCACUCGGGUGUCUGUGAGGAUGAUAUCUUUGCUGGUGUGCUACUGCAGUCUCCAUCUAUACAGGAUUGUGAUGAGAGAGACGUUCUACUGUUAUCCUUUCCCACAAAAAUACUAAGAUCAUGUUGGUAUCACAAUGGCAGAUCUUGGUCAACUCUGCCAUGGCAGCCUGCAUCAAGAUGGGAAGAAUAGAACUAGCAAGAUCUUGCUGAAAAUAGACUUUAUGCCGAUCACUGGCUGGAAUAUUACGCCACCAGAAGCUGUAAACUUAUAGGGAAGCAAUCGAGACUGUACCGAACUUGAAAAAUUAUUGGAUAUUUGACAUCUAAGAUGCUUAUAGAUAACCCUGAAAAAGCUUCUCUUUUGUAUUGGGAAGAAGACUAUGAUCUUCUUUUGAAAUAUGUGUUUGUGCUAAUAGCAAAACUAGGACGAAGUUGUGUUCUCGUGGGUCUGGUAAAUCACAUAUUCUUUUGUGACAUAGUUUGUAGAUUGAAGAACCUCUUGUGUAUAAGUAAUUCCAUCGAAAUAUGGAGGAAGUUAUCUAUAUACCGGUAUUAGAAAAAAAAACCAUUUUUUUGUUCUUUGUGGGAGGGGGUAUAUGAGAUCUUUUAUACUAUGUUUGAUUCAU